rnacentral:rRNA from 1 species
GUCGAGAAUCUUUCACAAUGGGGGCAACCCUGAUGGAGCGACGCCGCGUGGAGGAUAAGGUCUUCGGAUUGUAAACUCCUGUCAUGCGUGAACAAGGUUGCUUGGUUAAUACCUGGGCAAAUUGAUGGUAACGCAAGAGGAAGAGACGGCUAACUCUGUGCCAGCAGCCGCGGUAAUACAGAGGUCUCAAGCGUUGUUCGGAAUCACUGGGCGUAAAGGGUGCGUAGGUGGCGUGGUAAGUCAGAUGUGAAAGCCCGGGGCUCAACCUCGGAACUGCAUCCGAUACUGCCAUGCUAGAGUACUGGAGAGGUGACUAGAAUUCUCGGUGUAGCAGUGAAAUGCGUAGAUAUCGAGAGGGAUACCAAAGGCGUAGGCAGGUCACUGGACAGUUACUGACACUGAGGCACGAAGGCCAGGGGAGCGAACGGGAUUAGAUACCCGAGUAGUCC